UACGUAGGCAGAGAGCGUUGUUCGGAGUUACUGGGCGUAAAGCGUGCGUAGGCGGUGUCUUAAGUUUGUUGUGAAAUCUCCCGGCUUAACCGGGAGGGUGCGGCGAAUACUGAGAUGCUGGAGUGCCGGAGAGGUAAGCGGAAUUCCUGGUGUAGCGGUGAAAUGCGUAGAUAUCAGGAGGAACACCUGCGGUGUAGACGGCUUACUGGACGGUAACUGACGCUGAGGCACGAAAGCGUGGUUAGCAAACAGG
rnacentral:rRNA from 1 species